rnacentral:piRNA from 1 species
UGGAAUGAACUUAAUGAAUGCUGCUUCAG